rnacentral:tRNA from 1 species
GCUGGAGAUGCCAAUACAGGUAUAGGCCCCUGUCUUAUAAGCAGGUAAUAGUUGGUUCAAUUCCAACCUCCAGUAC